GAGCCCUGGUCAUGUAAAAGCAGCCAUGAGUCAGAGGCUGUUUGUUGCAUCCUCAGGAAGGCUCCCUGGUGAGAGAUUAGCUUCUUCUAAGAUGUAUUUUUCUCCCUAAUGGCCC